rnacentral:rRNA from 1 species
AUUGAACGCUGGCGGCAUGCUUUACACAUGCAAGUCGAACGGCAGCGCGGGCUUCGGCCUGGCGGCGAGUGGCGAACGGGUGAGUAAUACAUCGGAACGUGCCCAGUAGGGGGGGAUAGCUCGGCGAAAGCCGGAUUAAUACCGCAUACGACCUGAGGGUGAAAGCGGGGGAUCUUCGGACCUCGCGCUAUUGGAGCGGCCGAUGGCAGAUUAGCUAGUUGGUGGGGUAAAGGCCUACCAAGGCGACGAUCUGUAGCUGGUCUGAGAGGACGACCAGCCACACUGGGACUGAGACACGGCCCAAACUCCUACGGGAGGCAGCAGUGGGGAAUUUUGGACAAUGGGCGAAAGCCUGAUCCAGCAAUGCCGCGUGUGUGAUGAAGGCCUUCGGGUUGUAAAGCACUUUUGGCGGGAACGAAAAGGACUGUGCCAAUACCACGGUUCGAUGACGGUACCCGCAGAAUAAGCACCGGCUAACUACGUG